rnacentral:rRNA from 1 species
UGCAGUCGAACGGCAGCACGGAGCUUGCUCUGGUGGCGAGUGGCGAACGGGUGAGUAAUAUAUCGGAACGUACCCUAGAGUGGGGGAUAACGUAGCGAAAGUUACGCUAAUACCGCAUACGAUCUAAGGAUGAAAGUGGGGGAUCGCAAGACCUCAUGCUCGUGGAGCGGCCGAUAUCUGAUUAGCUAGUUGGUAGGGUAAAAGCCUACCAAGGCAUCGAUCAGUAGCUGGUCUGAGAGGACGACCAGCCACACUGGAACUGAGACACGGUCCAGACUCCUACGGGAGGCAGCAGUGGGGAAUUUUGGACAAUGGGCGAAAGCCUGAUCCAGCAAUGCCGCGUGAGUGAAGAAGGCCUUCGGGUUGUAAAGCUCUUUUGUCAGGGAAGAAACGGUGAAGGCUAAUAUCCUUUGCUAAUGACGGUACCUGAAGAAUAAGCACCGGCUAACUACGUGCCAGCAGCCGCGGUAA